rnacentral:rRNA from 1 species
UACGGAGGUUCCUAGCGUUGUUCGGAAUUACUGGGCGUAAAGGGAGCGCAGGCGGAUUGAUAAGUCUAAAGUGGAAUCCCGGGGCUCAACCUCGGACGUGCUUUGGAUACUGUCAGUCUUGAGUUCGUGAGAGGAAAGCGGAAUUCAGGGUGUAGCGGUGAAAUGCUUAGAUAUCCUGAGGAACACCAGUGGCGAAAGCGGCUUUCUGGCACGUAACUGACGCUGAGGCUCGAAAGCGUGGGUAGCGAACGGG